UGGGAUAGGGAUCGGACCCGACACCUCUGGCGUUACUUGUCUUACACUCAUGCGAUAGUUCUCUUAUUCACCAGGAUUAUGUGAAAGUAACGCUUAACUGGUGACGUUAUCUCGAUCAGCGGUAGCAAAAAGUCCACAUGUCAAGAUCAAGCUAACUAGGGCGAUUAACAAGAGAGAGAAAAAUGCCAAUA